CAGGGAAUCUUGCGCAAUGGGCGAAAGCCUGACGCAGCGACACCGCGUGGGGGAAGAAGGCUUUAGGGUCGUAAACCCCUUUUCUCGGGGAGGAGAAUGGACAGUACCCGAGGAAUAAGGUACGGCUAACUACGUGCCAGCAGCCGCGGUAAUACGUAGGUACCGAGCGUUGUCCGAAUUUACUGGGCGUAAAGGGCGCGUAGGCGGCUUGUUAAGUCUCAUGUGAAAUCUCCCGGCUCAACUGGGAGGGGACAUGGGAAACUGGCAGGCUCGAGGGCAGUAGAGGGAAGCGGAAUUCCCGGAGUAGUGGUGGAAUGCGUAGAUACCGGGAGGAACACCAGAGGCGAAAGCGGCUUCCUGGGCUGUCCCUGACGCUGAGGCGCGAAAGCGUGGGGAGCAAACCGG
rnacentral:rRNA from 2 species